rnacentral:rRNA from 2 species
AAAUUGAAGAGUUUGAUCAUGGCUCAGAUUGAACGCUGGCGGCAGGCCUAACACAUGCAAGUCGAACGGUAACAGGAAUCAGCUUGCUGAUUUGCUGACGAGUGGCGGACGGGUGAGUAAUGUCUGGGAAACUGCCUGAUGGAGGGGGAUAACUACUGGAAACGGUAGCUAAUACCGCAUAA